rnacentral:rRNA from 1 species
GACGAACGCUGGCGGCGUGCUUAACACAUGCAAGUCGAACGGAAAGGCCCUGCUUUUGUGGGGUGCUCGAGUGGCGAACGGGUGAGUAACACGUGAGUAACUUGCCCUUGACUUUGGGAUAACUUCAGGAAACUGGGGCUAAUACCGGAUAGGAGCUCCUGCUGCAUGGUGGGGGUUGGAAAGUUUCGGCGGUUGGGGAUGGACUCGCGGCUUAUCAGCUUGUUGGUGGGGUAGUGGCUUACCAAGGCUUUGACGGGUAGCCGGCCUGAGAGGGUGACCGGCCACAUUGGGACUGAGAUACGGCCCAGACUCCUACGGGAGGCAGCAGUGGGGAAUAUUGCACAAUGGGCGGAAGCCUGAUGCAGCAACGCCGCGUGCGGGAUGACGGCCUUCGGGUUGUAAACCGCUUUCGCCUGUGACGAAGCGUGAGUGACGGUAAUGGGUAAAGAAGCACCGGCUAACUACGUG